GACGAACGCUGGCGGCGUGCUUAACACAUGCAAGUCGAACGGAAAGGCCCUGCUUUUGUGGGGUGCUCGAGUGGCGAACGGGUGAGUAACACGUGAGUAACCUGCCCUUGACUUUGGGAUACCUUAAGAAACUUGGGGCAAUUCCCGGAUAGGACUUCCGGCUGCAGGUGGGGGUUGGGAAGGUUUCGGCGGUUGGGGUUGACCUCGCGCCUUAUCAGCUUGUUGGUGGGGUAGUGGCUUACCAAGGCUUUGACGGGUAGCCGGCCUGAGAGGGUGACCGGCCACAUUGGGACUGAGAUACGGCCCAGACUCCUACGGGAGGCAGCAGUGGGGAAUAUUGCACAAUGGGCGGAAGCCUGAUGCAGCAACGCCGCGUGCGGGAUGACGGCCUUCGGGUUGUAAACCGCUUUCGCCUGUGACGAAGCGUGAGUGACGGUAAUGGGUAAAGAAGCACCGGCUAACUACGUG
rnacentral:rRNA from 1 species